rnacentral:rRNA from 1 species
GACGAACGCUGGCGGCGUGCCUAAUACAUGCAAGUAGAACGCUGAAGGGAGGAGCUUGCUCUUCUUGGAUGAGUUGCGAACGGGUGAGUAACGCGUAGGUAACCUGCCUUGUAGCGGGGGAUAACUAUUGGAAACGAUAGCUAAUACCGCAUAACAAUGGAUGACCCAUGUCAUUUAUUUGAAAGGGGCAAAUGCUCCACUACAAGAUGGACCUGCGUUGUAUUAGCUAGUAGGUGAGGUAACGGCUCACCUAGGCGACGAUACAUAGCCGACCUGAGAGGGUGAUCGGCCACACUGGGACUGAGACACGGCCCAGACUCCUACGGGAGGCAGCAGUAGGGAAUCUUCGGCAAUGGGGGCAACCCUGACCGAGCAACGCCGCGUGAGUGAAGAAGGUUUUCGGAUCGUAAAGCUCUGUUGUAAGUCAAGAACGAGUGUGAGAGUGGA